UUGGAGAGGAUAGGAUAGGAUAGGAUAGGAUAAGAUUUCCAGGUAAGACACUACAGUGACCUGUGGUUGCUGUAAAAGAUCCAUCCACAGGGAUAACCCCUCUUGACCAUUCCAAACACUUGUCAGUUCUUGCAGUUCGUGUCAGAAUCUGAAGAAUAAAAACAAAAGAACCCUGUCUCUUCUUCCUUCAUGCUUCCACCAAGUCAUCAACCAUGGUAACCAGUGAUUUGCAUAGAGCACAAAACCACCAGCUAUUAACGCUUCAUAGUAGCUGCACUGUAUCAAGAACAUCAUACCAGUCAGAGAAAAUUCUUGCCACCACCAAAUAAGGUCAAUGACACUGCAGUGUGGUGUAUUCCCACUUGUGUGUUUUAUUUGUAGAUCAGGUAGAAAUUGGGAUGUGGUUGUGGCUGUUUAAUCUUUCAUCUCGAUGCCUUAAUCAAUUACUAACAACUACAAAAUAAAGAGAAAUGAACUUUUGGAAAUUUAGUGUAAUGGAAAUCUCCAGCCUUGUCAUGCACCUACUAAGAAAACCAUGUUGCCCAUAAAAGAUUUAUCUUGUACCAAUCAAUAUCAAGACAGAGAAGACUGUCCUGUACAAACAAAGUCAUGCAUGAAACCAUUCUGUGUCGAGUAAAAGUCGUAUGUUUAUUGCAAGUCCAUACAGAAAACAGAGAAAAAAAAUUACAACUUUAUAUGCACAAUAUUGGUUUGAAGAACAGAGCAAUGACGAGUUCUAAAACAACAUUUGAAGGAUUGAGAGAGCGGGAAAGAGUUUGGACCGGAGCUCAAUUAGUCUUCUUCUCCUCCUCCUCCACCUUGUUGUUGCUGCAGCUGUUCGUCGACUUCUCCCUCCCUGCUACUCCCAAAAGCUAUCGUAACGAACAGCUCGCUCACCCUCGCCGCUCUCUCCGCGCCCAAGACGUCGCCGACCUUCUUCGGCUCCUCCUCCUCCGCCGCCGGCAUCCGAUACCUGCACACCGGGCACGACCUCCUCGCCAGGCUCCACAAUCAUCAUGGCACGCCAGCCACCGCCAGCCCGGGUGGGAGCAACUCGUACAGCAGCGCCGGCUCCCCUGGAAGAUGACCAUCCCCCGGGUGAGCGGGUUGAGCAUGACGACCCGCUCCAGCUCCGGCGUCUCCCCCUCCGCGGGGCCCGUCCGCACCACGCCGAAGACGAUGGGGGAGAGGGCGGUCCCCCGCCGCUCGUCGCCGUCUUCGGCGUCACCGUCCCUCCGCAGGAUCCCCUCGAGUCGCCCGAGCUCGCGCUCCGCCGCCGCCAUAGAUCGAGAUCGCCGAGUCGACGGAGUGGCGGAAGUCUGUGGAAGCAUCCAGAACAUUUCCUGUAGCAGUUAAUCCAUGAGUGAGGUGGUCGCCACAUGUCGGCGUGGAGCCCACAAUUAUUUAAGCGGGGCCAGCACGGACGUCUGGCGGAUAUCGUGCCACGUGGGAUGGAGGUCCGUUCGGGAUCCCCGGGUUAUUGCAUUUGGGGUCAGCAAAGGAAACAAGACGCCAUACAUCUCCCCUCCGUUUCAACCCAAUGACAUGUUUGUCCUCUUCUCGGAGUCACUACACACAUUGGUUGCUUCCAAGAACUUACCGAGGAUUCCAAGAAUACAGCAGAUGCUUGUCAAGCUGAAGCAAGAAGCAAGAGGAAUGAAUCUCAAACGAAGAACAGCAAAGUUUCUUGGAAUUCUGUCAUGAUGAACAAGAAAAUCAAUCAUCUCGACGAACAAAAAAUUUCGAUUAUUAUGUCUUCGAACAAGCAGUAAAAGAAUCGGUUUCAAUGGUACAGAAAUCAUAAAUGGCGAUCUUGCAGCUGGCCAACAACUAGGAGUUGGUGGUGAAUGUGCCAACGUAGCCGAAACCCAUGACGACAAAUGCAAAUGCUUGAAGGUAGAUGUACACAUAGUAGUAGUUCACUCCGAAGGUAACAUUAUAGGAAGCACAGCACAUGAGGAAGACCGCAAACCCGAGCUGCAAGAAGCUCACCCUGAGAUCCAAAAAGAGAUGGGUGUCUCCAAGCUUCUGUGUCACAACCCAUUCAUUUACGCUUGCUGUCUCAAGUAGACCGAUCAAGGCUGCUUUCAUCCGGUGCAUGGACAUGACGUUCUCAAACAAAAUCCAGAAUGGCAUUAUGUGAAGGGAGCUGCGACGAAGAGAGGGCAUAUCAGGGAAGAAAGUUCUGAUCAAGGGGUAUGUUCAUCAGUAAAGAUUGAUACCUGGGAUUUCUGAUGGCAUUGAGAACGGUAAUUGUUGUAGGGAUGUAGACCACCCCCCAUAUCGGAAUGCUUACUUCUGGUACUACAACUGAUACUGGAAUCACGAUGCAGUAGAAUGCAAAGGUGACGAUCGGGGCCACAACUCUUCUAACAAAGAAGAAACUGUAGAUCACAUGGAUUUUCUUCAACAGGGAUACCUCCUGCUCCAUAAAAAAGAGACAAGUCUCAGGGAAAUAAGAUCGACCAAUGUAUGCUUGUUUACUUGAAGAAGGCUUCUGCUACCUUUGCGAGUACAAUGUCGCGUGCCAUUUUUCUAAAUAAGUUGGCAGCUCCACAGGUCCAUCGAUGCUGUUGAUGUCGGUAAGCCUUGAAGGUACUUGGGAGUUCGCUUCUGACCUGCAAUAGUUGUGGCAAAACACUUACAGAUUACUGAGCUUCUCCUUUGCUGAAUACUGUCAUGGAUCACAGCAAAUUUGAGUACCUUGACGUCACCAACAUACAAGAAUUUCCAGCCCUUGAGACUGGCUCGAACAGCCAAGUCCAUGUCCUCGACCGUCGUUCGAUCUUUCCAGCCUCCUACUUCAUUGAUAGCAGAUAUUCGCCACACGCCAGCAGUUCCUGUGAGAGUGAAUAUUGUGAUGUACUUGAAAACCAUGUCCUCUUUCUUUGAACAUCCAAAUAAUUUUUGCAACUUUACGAUUGCAUACAUGGUUUAUGCUUUUUCUCACUUUCAGCAGUUAAAUUCGAGUUCAAACAUCUGACAUGACUAA